ACCUUCCUUUCUUCAUUCCUCUCUCUCAGCAAGAACCUGUGGAUUUAGUGGAUCCUUCAAGUGUAAACGGCAUGGCGGUAAAUGUGUAGUGCCCAGUGACUGUACAGGCCUUAUGAGGAAGACUGGGGAAUGUGAAAGUAACAUCAUUUGCUGCAAAAGUUUAUUUGCCAAUUGAGCUGGGAAUGGAGUCUCGUCAGCAAUCGCUUUUUCAUAUAGAAACUUAUCCAACUCCACUUGCCUUCCAAUGGAAUCUUGCUGGCAGGGGAUCCAAACUUAACAUCGUCUAUAACAAAGCAAUUCUCCCUUUGAAUAAACUGUUACUUACAGCA